UGGUGGGUUGCCUUGUCAGGUUGAUUCCGGUAACGAACGAGACCUCAGCCUGCUAAAUAGUUACUCCUACUUUGGUAGGUGGCGAACUUCUUAGAGGGACUAUUGGCGUUUAGCUAAUGGAAGUGCGAGGCAAUAACA
rnacentral:rRNA from 1 species